UUGGAGGGCAAGUCUGGUGCCAGCAGCCGCGGUAAUUCCAGCUCCAAUAGCGUAUAUUAAAGUUGUUGCAGUUAAAAAGCUCGUAGUUGAACUUCGGGGUUUACCCAUUGGUCAGGCUUAAUUGUCUGCACUGGUGAGAUAAAUCUCUACCUUCUGAGGAACUUUCAUGUCAUUAAUUUGGUGUGAUUGGAAAUCAGGACUGUUACUUUGAAAAAAUUAGAGUGUUUAAAGCAGGCUAACGUCUGAAUACAUUAGCAUGGAAUAAUGAAAUAGGACGGACUGAUUCUAUUUCGUUGGUUUCUAGGAUCACCGUAAUGAUUAAUAGGGAUAGUUGGGGGCAUUAGUAUUCAAUUGUCAGAGGUGAAAUUCUUGGAUUUAUUGAAGACUAACUACUGCGAAAGCAUUUGCCAAGGAUGUUUUCAUUAAUCAAGAACGGAAGUUAGGGGAUCGAAGACGAUCAGAUACCGUCGUAGUCUUAACCAUAAACUAUGCCGACUAGGGAUCGGACGAAGUUAAUUUUAUAAUGACGCGUUCGGCGCCUUACGGGAAAC
rnacentral:rRNA from 1 species